rnacentral:rRNA from 1 species
AGGCAGCGGCCUUCGGGCCGUUGUCGAGUGGCGAACGGGUGAAUAACACGUGAGGAACCUGCCCCGGAGACCGGGAUAACCAGGGGAAACUCUGGCUAAUACCGGAUGCCCCCGGAUGGUCGCAUGGCCAACCGAGGAAACGCUCCGGUGCUCCGGGAGGGCCUCGCGGCCUAUCAGCUUGUUGGUGGGGUAAUGGCCUACCAAGGCAUCGACGGGUAGCUGGUCUGAGAGGACGAUCAACCCCACUGGGACUGAGACACGGCCCAGACUCCUACGGGAGGCAGCAGUGGGGAAUAUUGCGCAAUGGGCGAAAGCCUGACGCAGCAACGCCGCGUGGGGGAUGACGGCCUUCGGGUUGUAAACCCCUUUCAGCAUGGACGAAAAUGACGGUACCUGCAGAAGAAGCCCCGGCCAACUACGUGCCAGCAGCCGCGGUAACACGUAUGGGGCAAGCGUUGUCCGGAUUUAUUGGGCGUAAAGAGCUCGUAGGCGGUUGCGUAAGUCGGAUGUGAAAACUCAGGGCUCAACCCGGAGACGCCAUCCGAUACUGCGCUGACUAGAGUCCGGUAGAGGAGCAUGGAAUUCCUGGUGUAUCGGUGAAAUGCGCAGAUAUCAGUAGGAACACCAGUGGCGAACGCUGUGCUCUGGGCCGGUACUGACGCUGAGGAGCGGAAAGCGUGGUAGCGAACACGAUUAGAUACCUGCUAGUCCACGCGUAACCUUGGGCGACUAGUGUGAGGCCUCCGUAAACG